rnacentral:rRNA from 1 species
CCUACGGGGGGCUGCAGUCGAGAAUCUUCGGCAAUGGGCGAAAGCCUGACCGAGCAAUGCCGCGUGCGGGAUGAAGGCCCUCGGGUUGUAAACCGCUGUCGUAGGGGAGAAAGGUCUCGCGAAGAGCGAGAUUUGAUCUAUCCUAGGAGGAAGUCCGGGCUAAGUUCGUGCCAGCAGCCGCGGUAACACGAACCGGACGAACGUUAUUCGGAAUUAUUGGGCUUAAAGGGUGCGUAGGCGGUGCGGUAAGUGCGGUGUGAAAUCCCACGGCUCAACCGUGGAAUUGCGCUGCAUACUGCCGUGCUCGAGGAAGACAGGGGUAAGCGGAACUGAUGGUGGAGCGGUGAAAUGCGUUGAUAUCAUCAGGAACACCGGUGGCGAAAGCGGCUUACUGGGUCUUUUCUGACGCUGAGGCACGAAAGCUAGGGUAGCGAACGGGA